rnacentral:rRNA from 1 species
AGCUCCAAUAGCGUAUAUUAAAGUUGUUGCAGUUAAAAAGCUCGUAGUUGGAUUUCUGCUGGAAGCGACCGGUCCGCUCUUUCAGAGUGUGUACCUGGUUUUGGUUUCAGCAUCCUUCUGGGGAACGUGUUGCACUUCAUUGAGUGAUACGUAUUCCAGAACUUUUACUUUGAAUAAAUUAGAGUGUUUCAAGCAGGCUUUUGCUUUGAAUGCUGCAGCAUGGAAUAAUAACAUAGGACUUUGGUUCUAUUUUGUUGGUUCCUAGGACUGAAGUAAUGAUUAAUAGGGACAGUUGGGGGCAUUCGUACUUAACUGCUAGAGGUGAAAUUCUUAGAUUUGUUAAAGACGAACUACUGCGAAAGCAUUUGCCAAGGAUGUUUUCGUUAAUCAAGAACGAAAG